UGUGGUGUAGCUCUGUGGUAGAGCACUUGCCUAGCAUGUACAAGGCCCUGGGUUCCAUCCCCAGCACUAUAC
rnacentral:tRNA from 1 species